GGCCUGGUGGUGUAGCGGUAACACACCUGUUUGCAGUUCACCUUCUUGCAUUGAUUUCAGCAGGAAUCCCUUGUUUAAGUCAAGGCUAGGCCC